CAGUCGCCGCGGGAAUACGUAGGUCCCGAGCGUUGUCCGGAUUUAUUGGGCGUAAAGCGAGCGCAGGCGGUUAGAUAAGUCUGAAGUUAAAGGCUGCGGCUUAACCAUAGUACGCUUUGGAAACUGUUUAACUUGAGUGCAAGAGGGGAGAGUGGAAUUCCAUGUGUAGCGGUGAAAUGCGUAGAUAUAUGGAGGAACACCGGUGGCGAAAGCGGCUCUCUGGCUUGUAACUGACGCUGAGGCUCGAAAGCGUGGGGAGCAAACAGGAUUAGAGACCCCGGUAGUCCCUGUCUCUUAUACA
rnacentral:rRNA from 1 species